rnacentral:misc_RNA from 1 species
AACGCAACUUGCGCCGUUUCGACGGCAUGUCUACUUGAGAACAGUCAACUAAUAAUAACAUUUGGGUUUUGCUUUCUGGUUGUGAAAUGCAUCAUGUUGACACAAUAUACAUGUUGAAGCUAGAGACCAACGGUCUUGUUCAACAUAUAUGUAUACGACGCGAUUAUACUUUCUGUCUCAAGUUAGGCAAGAUUACCCGCUGAACUUAA